rnacentral:lncRNA from 12 species
AUGCGGCCUUCCUGUUUCACUGGUGCCCGAGACCGGACCACUGUGCAUCCUUGUCUCCCACUCCGGACCCCAGCUUCCCGUUCUCGCCCUCCUCUCUGUCCUUGCUCAAGACUCCAGACUUCUCAAACUCAGAACGCGUCAUCUGGCUGCCAGGGAGGCUCCCCUGCCCACCGUCAGCCUCCCCUGGGCCUCCAUGGAUUUGUGCACCCCGCGACCCUACAACAACCCUCUGAGCCCCGGAUCCUGUCAGCAGCCUGCGGUGGCGCCCCUGCUGGACGGCUGUGUGACCGCAGCACCGGGGGCUCGUGCUCCCUCUCACCCCACUCCGAGGCUUCAGGCUCCGUUGGAGAGGAGGGAGCAAGGUCUUCCACGCAAAUCCGUCAGGCUCCACAAAGCGGGGGCCGGUCACCUUCCAGCUUAGACGGGGCAGCGCACAGCAGGGCACUUGAUGGCCACGCAAACUGAUGCCUUCCUUCUGAGCCUGCCAGGGAGUUCGGUGUUGGAUCCCCGGCCGAUGAGGCUGUGUCCUGCAGGCUGACCCACAUUCGGGCUCCCAGGCCUUUGUCUCUGGGAUCGUCUGCCUCUCAGGGGAGGGGAGGCAGGGUCUGGGAGCCCCUUGCUUUGUGGAGCUCUCUCUCCUGGGGUGAGUCAUGGCCACUGUCGUCUCCUCCAUUCAUUUGGAAGCUGCUUAUUUCAAGUGCAUCUCCUGCCAGCUCUUUAUGUCUCAAAUGCUCUCUGUGCCGUGAUUUCCUAUAGUUAUAUAAUCACUUCUCUGUUGUCAUGAAUGACUUUUUCCUGUUCUUUUUUCCUCUGAGCCUCACACGAC